rnacentral:rRNA from 1 species
CCCUUAGAUGUUCUGGGCUGCACGCGUGCUACACUGAUAUUGCCAAUAUGUCAUUCUUAUCCGAAAUGGAUUGGGUAAUCAAGUAAUGAAAUUUCAUGCUUGGAAUCGGUAAUUGCAAUUUUAUCGUGAACGAGGAAUUCCUAGUAAGCACUAGUCAUCAGCUAAUGUUGAUUAUGUCUCUGCCCUUUGUACACACCGCCCGUCGCUACUACUGAUUGGGUGUUCAAGUGAGAUGCUUAGACCCUUGUUGCAUGGUUCAUUAUUGUGCUCCGAAAGGAAAAAGUUUCAAGCUUGAGUGUCUAGAGGAAGUAAAAGUCGUAACA